AUACGUAGGGCGCAAGCGUUGUCCGGAAUUAUUGGGCGUAAAGAGCUCGUAGGCGGCUUGUCGCGUCGGAUGUGAAAGCCCGGGGCUUAACCCCGGGUCUGCAUUCGAUACGGGCAGGCUAGAGUGUGGUAGGGGAGAUCGGAAUUCCUGGUGUAGCGGUGAAAUGCGCGGAUAUCAGGAGGAACACCGGUGGCGAAGGCGGAUCUCUGGGCCAUUACUGACGCUGAGGAGCGAAAGCGUGGGGAGCGAACAG
rnacentral:rRNA from 1 species